GACGAACGCUGGCGGCGUGCUUAACACAUGCAAGUCGAACGAGACGAUUGAAAGCUUGCUUUCAAAAGUCGAGUGGCAAACGGGUGAGUAACGCGUAGACAACCUGCCUUUGAGAUGGGGACAACAGUUCGAAAGGACUGCUAAUACCGAAUGUUGUAUAUUUUCCACAUGGAAGAUAUAUUAAAGAUGGCCUCUAUUUAUAAGCUAUCGCUCAAAGAUGGGUCAGCGUCUGAUUAGCUGGUUGGUGGGGUAACGGCCUACCAAGGCGACGAUCAGUAGCCGGUCUGAGAGGAUGAACGGCCACAUUGGGACUGAGACACGGCCCAGACUCCUACGGGAGGCAGCAGUGGGGAAUCUUCCACAAUGGACGAAAGUCUGAUGGAGCAACGCCGCGUGAGUGAUGAAGGCCUUCGGGUCGUAAAGCCCUGUCAGGUGGGAAGAAACUUGUUGAUGCCAAUACCAUCAACACUUGACGGUACCACCGGAGGAAGCACCGGCUAACUCUGUGCCAGCAGCCGCCGUAA
rnacentral:rRNA from 1 species